rnacentral:rRNA from 1 species
UACGUAGGGUGCGAGCGUUAAUCGGAAUUACUGGGCGUAAAGCGUGCGCAGGCGGUUUUGUAAGACAGAUGUGAAAUGCCCGGGCUUAACCUGGGAACUGCAUUUGUGACUGCAAGGCUAGAAUCUGGCAGAGGGGGGUAGAAUUCCACGUGUAGCAGUGAAAUGCGUAGAGAUGUGGAGGAACACCGAUGGCGAAGGCAGCCCCCUGGGCUAACACUGACGCUCAUGCACGAAAGCGUGGGGAGCAAACAGG